CUAAUCACCCGAGUGGGGUUGCUGUUCAGAAGCUAGACCUCCCAGGCACGAAGCUGAGAAGCCCGGUGUGAAGAGCAUCCUGCCACUCGCUGCCCUUUCGACUGCUUUACUGACAAGAUCACGAUGCUGCCUGGCCUGCUGAGUUCCUGCAACACUUUGUGUCAGUUGCCAUUCAUCGCCUCCGUGCUUCUGUAUGAGGGUGUCUGAUGACAAGCAAGAGAAAAUCUGCAGAAGCUGGAAAUCUA